CACGGCAAGGUCAUGGUUGUUGCGGGAGCCCAGAGUGGGGGUCGGAGCUCCAGUCCAGCAAGACGAGUGAGCUCUGGGGCGCCUGGGCGGCUCAGUCGGUUCGGCUUCCGACUUCGGCUCAGGUCGUGAUCUCGCGGUUGUUCUCCGGGUCAGGCAUUCAUGAAUUCUCCAGGAUGGAGGUCCCUGCUGGGAUCUGGAAGUACAAUUAACGCCGUCUUUGGCUAGAAGUGACCAGGUGAACGUGUCGGCCGGUGAGAUGCAAACAGAAGUCUACUGUGUGAGGCCUCAGGGAAAACGAAGCCCACUCAGCCGGCCUAUGCCUGUGCCCAGCCUGGAAUGUGAAAGUGAUGGCUGGAAGAGGAGCAGCCAUUUUGCAACCAUGAGGAUAAAACUCACACAUUAAGACUGACACAGCAGAGAGCCAAAAAACGAACAAAACCCCAGACACAGCUGUGCUGGUCCUGAAUAGACUUCUUCAGGAUUCCUGUCAUUUGUGAAAAAUGAAUUCCAGUGUAGUUAAGCCA